CUAACAUAUUGCCUAGUGAUCCCUAGUUGACAGUGAAAAACUGAUUUUAUAUUUUAUCCAUACUUCCCCGUGGAAACAAACAUUUCCUCUGAUUACCUAUAUAUAAAACAUUCCCCUGAGGAAAAAACUGAGGAAUCAUCUUUUGGGUUGCUAAAAUGUUCAUAGGCCUUCCCAUCUCUUACGGAGAAGAUAAACAUUGAAACCUUGUUUGUUUAAAAAUGGCAAAAUCCAUAAAAAUCAAAGACAAAUAUCCAUAACUUGAAAUUAAAAUGAGAAUUCUGUAUUGCUGGGUUUGAAUCUGACUACUUCUUGGUCAUUGUUAAAUGCUUACUCACACGUCUCAUAACACUGUCACUGAAAACUCAAUACAGAACUCAAGGUAACAUCACAAUGCCCCCUGAGAACGAAGAAAGGGUAAAGAGUGCAUAUUUCCUGUUACCUUUCUCUUUCCUAAGAGAACAAUGACAAAACCAUAGGAACUAGAGGAUGGCUCAAGUAAUUAAACAUCUUUACACAGAAGGAAGAAAAGAAACAAAACAAACACCUACUUGGCAAGGCCAUCUCAUCAAAACAGUCUAAUAUGUAUAAAAACAUCAAUCCACUCAACAUUCUCCCCAAGACAGCCGUGAGGAGGCAGGAGCUUGCUGAUUUCCUCUGCUCUCCUCCACAUAGCCUGUUCAAUAUCAUUGAAACUUUUUCAUUAUUUUGGACUUGGAAAUCACAUUUUACUUUGUUCUUAGGGGAACGGCUAUAGAUUCUAACACUGAAGCUUCAAAAUGCUAAGCUAAUGACUAGGCUAACUGAACUAGUGAACAAAACAGCCCAACUCCUGCUUCAUCCUCAUUCCUCUGUCAGCCUUAAAUAAUUCUUUUCAGCAAAGCCAAGAUAGGAGAAACAAAUAGCCCCUUUCAAAAAACUGUUUUAUAUCUGCUGCUCACCUGCUUUUAAAUGACUCAGAGCCAUCCAAUUUGAAUUGCAAACCAUGGGAAACAUUGCCAGGCUUUACUUGUAAAGCAGAACAUACCUUAUGUGCUCUCACAUAAUAUAACAAUAAUUAGUCAUUUAAAAUCAACCAAGUGUUCUAGUUGUUUAAGAAGAAUUUUAUUCAAUGACAAUGUACAUAAUUUUAGAGACCAAACCACGGUGACUAUGAAAUAUAAAAUAGCUUAAUCCAAGCUUCUGCUACGAUGUAGACAUUUUGAAAUGCUUUCAAAAUCUGGUAUCUAAAGUCUAUUCAGAAAAUUAUAGUCAUAUGCUUGAGUACUCACCAUGUCUUACAAUUUUUGAUUAAAAGUAGCUUGUCUCCACGAAAUGGAUUCCACAUUAUUGGUGACCUACAUGACAAAAGAAAAAAAAUCAAGUUCAGAGGAUAAUUGAAUGACGUGUAAGCUCAGCUCUCCAUGGUUUAUUACUGAAGUCUGGUUCCGUUCACUUCAAAAUUUAACUCUGUGACCUGAGAGCUUAGGAGUAGAGCUGAAGUAACUUCAAAAGCAUUAAUUCUGCAUAUUUUACAUUAGAAAUUCAUAAGAUUUUUCCAACCUUCCUCUUAUGUGAGUCUGUUUUGUUUUAUUUUGUUUUUCAAUGGAGAAAAACUCCCCAGAUCUUCAAAUACAAUCAGCUCUCCACCAAGAUGUUCUUUGUUUGUGCUGUGGUUUCUCAUCUCCUUGGGGAAACCACAGCACCCCCAUUUGAGGAAUACAGUUGAUCAAGUCGGGAGGCCAACAGCUGUCUUUGAAAGAACUGUCUAGUGCUCUGUGUCAAAAGCCUGGCCUGUCUUCUUAAUCCCAGGGCCCAGCAGAGUGUCUGGCACACAGCAGAAUGCUGAGGUUCAGGAGUUAUGGACAGCUUCAGCCCCAAUAUAGAGGACGCAGGCAAGAUGCCCCAUACCCCAAGCUGAAGAGUUUGAACCUGGUCUCCCAGCUGUGACCCACCACUCCAGUCUGCCAAAGACAGAAAGGCCUCCCUGGAUGUGGGAUUUCAAUGCCAUAAGUGGACCAGCCCUAAACAAACCAGCAAAUGUGUGCUGUCUUCUGUGUCUGCUUGUCCACUCCCUGGAUGUGUCACCUUGGAAGGUUUAUUUAUCUCCUCUGAUCCCAGUCAUUUUCCUGAUUUGAAAAAUACAUCAGUGGACAGGAGAAAGUGUGAAGACUGAAUGAACUAAUGCAGUGAAUAAACUUACAGCAACGACUGGCACAAAGACAAGAAUGGAAAUGGCAGCACACGGUAGUCACCUCAAAACCACUUUCAAAAGGAGAGCCUGCACUGUUGUGUCCCCAGGACACCAGGGACUGCAUGGGCACCUUUUCUGUGCUCCCCAUCAUCACCUAGGCAACCCACCUAUCCUUCCUUGGUGAAGAUGAGCCUCUACCUUUUGUGUAUUCUCCCUUUGUGUUUUCAUCUCACAUGCCCUUCCUCGUCUGAAGUCUUGUGUUGAGGACAAAGCAGCCUAAGACGACCGAUGCAGUCUAAUAAACUGCACCAAGACAAGUGCUCAGCAGCAAAUCUAUUUUCCUGACAGUUGUAGGAUGCAAUCUCCUUGUUGUUGGAGGGUGUCAUGCACAGGGCUGGGCUCCUCCAGUCUGCACAUCCUCCAGAGCAUUGCAGUGUGACAGCCUUCAUUAGAAGAGAAACUAACCCCUGGACAAAAUAUUGCCACCCUGGAAAUUCGGCUCUGUGGGGUGCCAUGAAUAUCUUACCUUCUGACAAACAAGUUUCCUCCAGAACUGACAUAUUCUUGGCCAUGUGACAUGAUCUAAACUAAGUUUCCUGGUGGUUUUUUUUCUCUUUUUAAUUGAGGUUUUGCCUGACAAUCUAGAAACUGAACACACUCUGACAGGUGAUGCUAUUUGAAGCAUUUGUUACCGUGAGGAUAGGAGGAGGCGUGAGGCGGGGCCCCUAGCAAAUUCACCUCCCUCUGUCCCCAGAGAAAGUUUCUGAGCUUCGUGGAGCUCAUGUGCCUCAAGUGCAUGGCUUUUGCCUUUCCCUUUUCCUGUGACACAAGUACACCUGUGGUAGCAAAUGGGUCUGGAACACAUGUGCUGCGGCUGAGGAUCCAGCAAACCAUACCUGAGUGUGCACUGUGUGCCUGGCACUGCGUUCCACCUGGGAUGUGCAUGUUUGGUUUAAUCCUCCCUACCACCCCACAGGAUAGGUAUAUUUGUGUCCACAUUGCACAGAUAUGGAAACUGGGUAACUGAAAGGCUAAGUGCUAAGAUCGCUGAGCCAGUCUGUGACUCUAGCAGAGGCACUUAUCCAAGGAAGAUUUGGCCCCUCACCUCUGUCCUUUAAAAGGUGGGCGGAUUGGCCAGGAGCAGCCAGACUCGCGUUAAAUACUUGUGCUGUUUGAUUUCUUUUUAUUUUUCUGAUAUUUGUUCUCCUUGGAAGAAGAAAUGGACCAGGAAAGGUAGAUGGAAAUCUCCUUUAAAUCGAAAAAUGAUCAUAAUGCAUAGAAUCACUGGAAGCACUUACAUUGCCAUGGAGAAGGAAGGGGUCGUCAUCACGUGGAUGUCAGCUCUCUUAGCAGCUUGUUUGUGCCCUACCUACAUCUGAGUGCCUCGAAUCCACCUUCAUGACAAGUAAAACAGGGGCCUCAGAAAGCAAGGGGAAGGGAAAGGGAGUUGGAGCGCCUCCUCGCCAUUGUAGAGAAGGCCUUGCUGCAAGCAUCACUUCAGAUUUGCCUCUGCUUGUGCAUAAACGCACAAAAAGAAGGAAGCAGACAAACAUUCUCAUGGACCCGCAGAAACAACAGACUGCAUUUUGCAAGUUUUCCCAUUUUCCCCGGAAAUGUUAUGCUCUAAAGAGCCUGGUGCUCAGCUGCAGGGAAGUGUUUGUGGUGUCCAAGUAGUGACUGCUGCCCAGACAGAGGAACUACUUGCACCUCCAUUCACCCAAUCCCAUCCACAUCUUUUCCCAGGGUACCCAGGCUCAUAAACUCCAGCAGAUCUCCACCUGGGCGUGCUGGGGUCUGUGCCAUAAGAGGCAGCAUGUGGUAGAAAGGGGCUCAAAUGAGAGUUAGCAGGCUUCAGUUGAGUCCGUCUCUGCCACUUCCAAGUCGGGUUAACUGGGUAAGCUAGGAGACGCUAAAACCCUGGCAACAUCACGCAGGGUGCGUGUGAAGAACAAAUGCAGUGGAGCUCAAUAAAGGGCUUUGUGAGCUCGAAAGCACAAUUCGAUGUCACCCCUUCCCUGACUACCACGUGGGCUCCCCAGGUUGGACCCCCUUUCCCUCUCCCCUGCAUGUCCACUGCGGGCCUCAGUGUGUCUGGCGGGCAGGUAAGUGCCCAGGUCGCAUACAGCCCUGAGACCCCUGCAGAGGUGGCCGCUUCCUUCUUUGUAUCCAAGUCAUCCUUCCACAAGUACAGGACCUCUUUUUUGUUCUCAAUCGAGAUUAUUAGGAGAGUUCUCUACUCUCACUAUGGUGGCUCCCUUGCUUGUCCCAUGCACCCUGGCAGGAGGUCAGUGAGGGCAGGAUGGGGAGACCAAUUCUCUCUCUCCCUGACUCUCCACCACUCUCCCCCACCCUACCCCCAUCUCUCUCUGCCUUUGUGUAUGUCUGUGGUUCUCUGCCCCGCCACUGUCUCUCCCUCUCUCUCUCCUCUCCCUCUCUCCUUGCCUCUCCCCGCUUUCU